rnacentral:rRNA from 2 species
UUUUAUCGGAGAGUUUGAUCCUGGCUCAGGACGAACGCUGGCGGCGUGCCUAAUACAUGCAAGUCGAGCGGAUCGAUGGGAGCUUGCUCCCUGAGAUCAGCGGCGGACGGGUGAGUAACACGUGGGUAACCUGCCUGUAAGACUGGGAUAACUCCGGGAAACCGGGGCUAAUACCGGAUAA